ensembl:lincRNA
AUGGUGGACCCAGGGAGAGCAGCUGCUCAGCGGUUGGGGGUGACUCCAUGGAGUGUGGGCUGCAGUGGGCAGAGAGCCCUGGGGGUGGGGUUCAGAACUCUGCACUCGGAGGGGGGCGGGCAGGGGGCACAGGGCCUCCCGAGGGAUGCUCUGGAGGAAGUUCUCCUAGGAACAACAGCCUUCCGCCCCCAGGACACAGCCAGAGAGGGGCGUGGGAAGUGUCCCGGCCCAGCCAGGACCCCUGAGCAUAGCAGCACAGCAGGUCACACUAACACUGGAAGACAAUGCUCUCAGCCCGUCAGACACCUGGACCCCAGAGAAGCCUGGGUGAGGAAACGCCCUGUGCCCCAUUCCCACAAGAGGGAGGGACUCCACAGCGGAUUAAGCGCAGAGCCAGACCAUGAGUCCGUGGGAGUGCAGAGGCCAAGGUGGGGAGAGGCUGAGGCUGCCAUGGGCACAAGAAAGCCGGACACAGCCAUUGCCUGCAGGAGGACAGUAAGGGGAAGCUACGCUCUGAGCAGCAUGUCACAGAAUGCACCGCUAGAGUCCCUUAGAAAUAGAAGGAGACGCUGGGGAAGAAUCAGCAGGAAAACCCAGCACAGCCCUCCUAGCCUCGGCACAUUCCGGAACAGGGCGAGUUUGCAGUAUUUCAAUCGUGUAAAGAUGGUUCGGAAGGUGCAUUUCCAAAAGAAGCCUCGCAUCCGCCGCGCCUGAGCGCACCCAGCACGUCAAGGCUGUCCUGCAGCAGCCGGAACACGACCGAGGAGCCCCAUGGCUGGCCAGGUUCCCCAGGCCUGCCCGUGUGGCCAGCGGGAAGGGGGCCCUGACUGCUGUGAACCCUCUGUGGAGCAGGGGCUGGGACAGCUCCCACAGCUCUUCCAGAGGUAGCUCCAGCCUGGGGUCUGAGGGCCAGUGACUCUCUAGUGUGCCUGUGCCCCAUUCCCACAGGGACUCUGGUCCAGCCACUGACCUCUGGCCUGACCCUCUCAGCUCCUAUAGCCCCCUCCCUCCCUCCCUGUCCUGCUGCCUGCCCUACCUGUAGCCGCCGCCUCUCCUGGCUGGCCGCCCGCAAGCUGGACAGGUGCUCGGUCUCCAGCCUCCGGAGCGCCUCCUCCUGCAGGGCCCGUGCUGCCAGGGUGCUGCUCAGAGCACCUUCUGCCCGGUGCCGACCUGGGGAGCCAGAUGGCAGGGGACUCCCAAGGCCUUCAGGCUGCCAGGGGAUCACCACUCCCAGGACUGUCCCCCCAGUUCACAGGCUACAGACGAAGCUCGGUGGACCUGUGACUGGCUCCUCCAUGGAGCACAGGGUCCUGCCGAUGGCCCUCAUUUCCUCUCCUUCAGGCUCCAGAGUCCUCCCACCGCCAUGGCCCCUCCCUGCCCCCACCAACACUCCUGUGGCUGACUCUCCCGGAGCCCAGGCUGCCCUCCUGGCCGACGCUUCAGGGGGCAGUGAGUGUGAAGCCUGUAAGGGCUGGGUGGGGGCCUUCUGAGGAGGCCAGAGGAGGCAGAGUCCAAGGGGGGACCCAUGUGUGGGAAGAGGGCCAGGUAGUGGGCACAGCCAGGGCCCAGACCCUGGGGUGGGAGUCACAGGAGAGGGGCUAGGCCUGACCAGCAGAGCCUCAGAGUCUCGGGACUGCCCCCGGGCUGGGGUGGCCUGUGUGAGGGAGCGGGCGCUGGCCAGGCCCAGGGCUGGCUCGGGAGCUGCUCUCAGAUUGCUCCCAGGGGGCGGGGGCAGGGGAGGGGGCAGUGGGCAGCAGUCACCUUCCUCUGCCUCUGCCAAGGCCCUCUGCAGCUGCCCCAGGUGGCUCUGCGCUUGGGCAAGUUCGCUCUCCACCCUGUGCAGCCGGCUGCUCAUGCUCUGCACCUGGACAUGGGCCUCAUCCUGGGCAGAGGAACUAAGGU